rnacentral:rRNA from 1 species
UACGUAGGGUGCAAGCGUUAAUCGGAAUUACUGGGCGUAAAGCGUGCGCAGGCGGUUAUAUAAGACAGUUGUGAAAUCCCCGGGCUCAACCUGGGAACUGCAUCUGUGACUGUAUAGCUAGAGUACGGUAGAGGGGGAUGGAAUUCCGCGUGUAGCAGUGAAAUGCGUAGAUAUGCGGAGGAACACCGAUGGCGAAGGCAAUCCCCCUGGACCUGUACUGACGCUCAUGCACGAAAGCGUGGGGAGCAAACAGGAU